AGGACCAUAAUUUGCAAUUGGAAAAAUGUGGAACCAGCCCAAAUCCCUAUCAAUCAAUGAGUAGAUUAAGAAAUUGUGGUACAUAUACACUAUGGAAUACUAUGCAGCCAUAAAAAGGAGCUAGAUCAUAUCUUUUGCAUGGACAUGGCUUAAAGCCAUUAUCCUCAGCAAACUACCACAGGAACA